AGACCCCAGGGUCUUUCAGCGCCGAGUGUGGUUCCAGGACUCACCGUGGCGUGCUCUUGGAUGAGAGGUGUUAGGUUGGGAAAAACAGUUCUGAGGGGUUUUGAUGGGAAAGUAGCUGGUUUUACUUCCUGAAAAUAAACAUCUGAAUGGUAUACGAUGGAAUGAAAGGACAGGAGUUUAAGGUUACGGAGGUUUACACCAUGUUUUAAUAGCUUGUUUUCUUAAAUUUCUGUUCAGUUACGCAGUGUACAUCAAAGAGUUCCAACUAACCACAGCCCCGUAAGGCCUGUCAUCCUGCAAGUCCAAAUUCGGGGGAAGCACAAAUCACAAUUGGCCCAAAUGUCCUAUUUCAAGUAAAAUAGAAAAUAGGCCGUUUCUGAUUUCUUCUGAGCUUACUGAGAAGUGUAGCCACAUUUAUCAUGCAUCAGUGAUGCUCUUUUGCAAGCAUCCUGCUACAUUGUAAUGACCUCUUCCGAGAAUUACCCCUGUAGCUGUCUCCUCGUGUUGGACGAGCAGAAUUUAACUCAUUUUAUCAUCCAGUUCACAAAAGAGUGAGCGCCGUAUUUUCAUAUUUUUGAAUUGUUUUAUAUCAUUAAAUGGCUUAUUUUUAGAAUGAAAGUAUGUAAAUCUUUUUUAUGAUUUAUUGAUAUCUAAGAAUUGUAGCAGAUGUUUUUUCCUUAUAUAUUUAAAAAAUCUGAUUGGCUAUUACUCUUUUUUUCUGUGUCUGAAUGAGAUUUUGCAUUUGCAUUUUUUUAUGAUGUAAGUAUGUAACACAAGACAGCUAAUUUGAAUUGAAAAGCUAAAAAAUAUGUAAAGGUUUAAAUAGUGUUUUUUUAAAAACAUUUUUAUUGGCGUAUAAUUGCUUUACAAAGGUGUGUUAGUUUCUGCUUUAUAACAAAGCGAAUCAGUUAUACAUAUACAUAUGUUCCCAUAUCUCUUCCCUCUUGCAUCUCCCUCCCAUCCUCCCUAUCCCACCCCUCUAGGUGGUCACAAAUCACUGAGCUGAUCUCCCUGUGCUAUGUGGCUGCUUCCCACUAGCUAUCUAUUUUACAUUUGGUAGUGUAUAUAUGCCCGUGCCACUCUCUCACUACGUCCCAGCUUACCCUUCCCCCUCCCCGUGUCCUCAAGUCUGUUCUCUACACCUGCAUCUUUAUUCCUGUCCUGCCCCUAGGUUCUUCAGAACCAUUUUUUUUUUUUUAGAUUCCAUAGACAUGUGUUAGCAUAUGGUAUUUGUUUUUCUCUUUCUGACUUUCUUCACUCUAUGACAGACUCUAGGUCCAUCCACCUAAUGAGCAUACAUUUAAAACUGUUCACAGGGUAUUGUGGAAGCUUAUGAUAGAAAAUAGAAAGCAUGAAGUAAAUUCUUGAAGAUGAUAAACUUUCUAAAAGGGAAAAGAGGAAAGCACAGUUCAUGAAGUUACUUCCGUGGCUUAGGCGGCAUUUUGUCCACGAGCUCCUGCUCUGAUGCCUGAUCAGCUGGCGAACAUACUUCCGCUGUGCACAGUUCCUUGUGGAUCAUCUGAGUCUGCAGUACGGAACACCUGUGCGUUCUGUCGUCUAGGCGUUCAUGUACAAAACCAGCUCCAGCACUUUCUGCUGCAGACUGGCAGGACGCAUGGACACGGUCACGGCCGUGGCCUUCAGCCCAGCCGCUGCCCAGUGAAAGUGUUUGUCAUUCGGUGCCGAUGGACAUUUGCUCUAACUGAAAUAUAAAAAAAUAAUGAGGUAUCCAUGGACAGGAACAUUGAAGGAAGAAAGCAAGUACACGGCAAGUAAGGAAAUGAUUUUGAAAUUCUUGUGAAAAGGAUUUAGAUGGAGAAGGAGUUCCACAAAAUUUAAAGAAUCUUAAUUAGGAGAAAGGAUUAAGAGAAAGUAACAUCAACUGCAAAUCAACCCAGAAAAGUGAAUGAUCUUCUAUUAAAAUGCAGAGGGAGGGGCUUCCCUGGUGGCGCAGUGGUUGAGAGUCCGCCUGCUGAUGUAGGGGACGCGGGUUCAUGCCCCGGUCUGGGAAGAUCCCACAUGCCGCGGAGCGGAUGGGCCCGUGAGCCAUGGCCGCUGAGCCUGCGCGUCCGGAGCCCGUGCUCCGCAACGGGAGAGGCCACAACAGUGAGAGGCCCGCGUACCGCAAAAAAAAAAAAAAAAAAAAAAAAUGGAGAGG